rnacentral:rRNA from 1 species
UACAGGGGGUGCGAGCGUUGUUCGGAUUUACUGGGCGUAAAGGGCGCGUAGGCGGUCAGCACAAGUCAGUUGUGAAAUCUCCGGGCUUAACUCGGAAAGGUCAACUGAUACUGUGCGACUAGAGUGCAGAAGGGGCAACUGGAAUUCUCGGUGUAGCGGUGAAAUGCGUAGAUAUCGAGAGGAACACCUGCGGCGAAGGCGGGUUGCUGGGCUGACACUGACGCUGAUGCGCGAAAGCCAGGGGAGCGAACGGG